GAUUAGCUAGUUGGUGGGGUAAUGGCCCACCAAGGCGACGAUCCGUAACUGGUCUGAGAGGAUGAUCAGUCACACUGGAACUGAGACACGGUCCAGACUCCUACGGGAGGCAGCAGUGGGGAAUAUUGGACAAUGGGCGAAAGCCUGAUCCAGCCAUGCCGCGUGUGUGAAGAAGGUCUUCGGAUUGUAAAGCACUUUAAGUUGGGAGGAAGGGCAGUAAGUUAAUACCUUGCUGUUUUGACGUUACCAACAGAAUAAGCACCGGCUAACUUCGUGCCAGCAGCCGCGGUAAUACGAAGGGUGCAAGCGUUAAUCGGAAUUACUGGGCGUAAAGCGCGCGUAGGUGGUUCAGCAAGUUGGAUGUGAAAGCCCCGGGCUCAACCUGGGAAUUGCAUCCAAAACUACUGAGCUAGAGUACGGUAGAGGGUGGGUGGAAUUUCCUGGUGUAGCGGUGAAAUGCGUAGAUAUAGGAAGGAACACCAGUGGGCGAAGGCGACCACCUGGACUGAUACUGACACUGAGGUGCGAAAGCGUGGGGGAGCAAACAGGAUUAGAUACCCGGGUAGUCCACGCCGUAAAACGAUGUCGACUAGCCCGUUGGGGAUCCUUGAGAUCUUAGUGGCGCAGCUAACGCGAUAAGUCGACCGCCCUGGGGGGAGUACGGCCGCAAGGGUUAAAAACUCAAAUGAAAUUGACGGGGGGCCCGCACAAAGCGGGUGGAAGCCAUGGUGGGUUUUAAUUUCGAAAGCAAACGCGAAAGAAACCUUUACCCUGGGCCUUUGAACAUGGCAGGAGAAACU
rnacentral:rRNA from 1 species